AAUCUUGCGCAAUGGGUGAAAGCCAGACGCAGCAACGCCGUGUGAAUGAAGAAUGCCUUCGGGUCNUACAGCUCUGUCAGGGGGGANGAAAUCUGACGGUACCCCCAGAGGAAGGCCCGGCUAACUACGUACCAGCAGCCGCGGUAAUACGUAGGGGGCGGGCGUUGUCCGGAAUUACUGGGCGUAAAGGGCGUGUAGGCGGUUUAUCAAGUCAGGUGUGAAAUUCCAGGGCUCAACCCUGGGCGUGCACUUGAAACUGGUAGGCUUGAGUGCAGGAGAGGAAAGUGGAAUUCCCAGUGUAGCGGUGAAAUGCGUAGAUAUUGGGAGGAACACCAGUGGCGAAGGCGACUUUCUGGCCUGUAACUGACGCUGAGGCGCGAAAGCUAGGGGAGCAAAC
rnacentral:rRNA from 1 species